UCGAGAAUAUUCCACAAUGGGCGAAAGCCUGAUGGAGCGACGCCGCGUGCAGGAAGAAGGUCUUCGGAUUGUAAACUGCUUUUCUAUGGGAUGAAGUUAUUGACAGUACCAUGGGAAUAAGGGGUUGCUAACUCCGUGCCAGCAGCCGCGGUAAUACGGAGGAUGCAAGCGUUAUCCGGAUUCAUUGGGUUUAAAGGGUGCGCAGGCGGAAUGAUAAGUCAGUGGUGAAAUCCUACAGCUCAACUGUAGAACUGCCAUUGAUACUGUCGUUCUUGAGUACACUUGGAGUGGGCGGAAUGUGUCAUGUAGCGGUGAAAUGCUUAGAUAUGACACAGAACACCGAUCGCGAAGGCAGCUCACUAAAUUGUAACUGACGCUCAGGCACGAAAGCGUGGGGAUCAAACAGG
rnacentral:rRNA from 1 species